GCAAGGAUGAAACUUCAAUUUUGAUACAGAAUGAAAUAUCAAAUUCUCCUCUAAGAAGUACUGAGCAG